rnacentral:rRNA from 1 species
CGCCUUGCGAUAUGUAAUGUGACUUGCAGAAUUCAGUGAAUCAUCGAAUCUUUGAACGCACAUUGCA